UAAAGUCAAUGCUUUCUAAUACAAUUUUUUUUUUUUUUAUGUACACUACCAUUCAUAGAAACGACUGCGUUUUAGUGCCACUUUAAAAAAUAUAUAAAAAAAAUAUAAGAUUACGAAAUUAAAGUCGUAAUAUUUCGAGAAUAAAGUCAAAAUUACGAGAAUAAAGUCGCAAUACUUCGAGAAUAAAGUUGAAAUAUUACGAGAAUAAAGUAGAAAUGUUUCGAGAAUAAAGUAAAAAUAUUACGAGAAUAAGGUCGAAAUGUUUCGAGAAUAAAGUUGAAAUAUUAAGAGAAUAAAGUCUAAAUAUUUCGAGAAAAAAGUCAAAAUGUUUUGGGAAUAAAGUUGAAAUGUUUCAAGAAUUUAAAUCAUAGAAAUGAAAGCUAUAAUAUUUUGAGAGUAAGCUAUAGCCUUUAUUGUGCAUGCAAAUGUACUGGAUUGACAUCACCGGGAGAAGCUGCAGGCCACAGGAAUUGAUUUGAAUAUUGUUGCAUCCGAGCAGCUGCAUCAUCUUACAGGGAUGAGGAAGAGUCAAUUUUAAGGUCUUGUAGAAACGGCUUAAUAUCAAGACUAUGAUAUUUAUUAACAGAUUGAACAGGAACAAUUUUUUUAUCUUAACAUCAGCUCACACACCCAAUCGACAUCUUUGGGGGGGGGGGGUGCUGUAGCUCUCUUAUUUAAUGUUUUUUUUUUUUUUUUAAUACACUACAAAUAUAUGUGGGAUUAUUAGCAGAAAUCAUAUAAUUUGCGUCAUACUCAUGGGGACAGUAUGCUUGGAAAUAAUAUUUAACGUCUUCCAUUCAUUAUUUGUAGCACGCCAGCCACCCAGUAAUCACAAUAAUUUUGUGCUUUGUUGCUUUUAUUAUAACACAGCUCAGCUUUCUAAUUCUGUCAGUUUUAUCAUGAAAUACAAAUUAGAAAUGUGUUUUCCUCUUAAUUUCAAGUUUAUCCCAAGAUAUAAAAAUGAAGGAGCAUCAGAAGGCAUGAAAAAACAGUAGCCUAUAUCUUAAUUUAUAAUGAAAAUAAUGUCUCGUUGUUAUAGGAAAGACUCACAUGCCGCUUAAGUUGAAGCAAAUACAGCGAUCUGUCACACCACAUUAAAGAGCUUGAAAAAAAAACACAAACACACACACACAUUAUUGUAAUAUAUUGUUUGUAUUUCACUAUAAAACUGACAGAUUUUAAAAGCUGAC
ensembl:lncRNA